UAGAAAUCCCCCACGUUUUGAUUAACAUAAAUAUAAAGCGUGUCUGCACAGGAACAUCCCAACUAUAUAUCUUAAACGAUUUUCUUGAAAGCAGUUAAACUCUAGUCUGUAUUUUAACUUUGAAAUCUCAUUGAAAUGAAGACUGUAGUUCUCAUUCUUCUUGUAUGUCUCGCGAGUCUUGUAAGUGUAUCGGAAAGCUGUUGUCAUACGUGGAAUGGUGAUUGCAGUAGUGGGAGCGAUUGCUGCGCACACUAUAAUUGCGAAGUCGAUAACACUAGAGGCGGCAAAAAAUUAUGCAAGCCAGUACCUGGAUACAAAAAGAAGAAAUGAAUCAAAAGAAGACAUCCAGUAUAAAAUAAACAAAUUUCAAUAGACAUUUUUUUUUUGUUUUUCAAAAUUAUUUGAAUUUUUCAACGUGUUAAAAAUUGAUCACGGUUAUGCUUAAUGUGGCAAACACGGUCCAAAACAAACAAAAUAGAACUGAAAUAAAAAUGUUUAUUUUC